UAAUUAUUAAACAUUUAAAAAACAAGAAUGUGUCCACAGUACACGGAUGCCCCACUCACACUAUCAUUUUCUAUGUUUAAAGGACUGUGAAAUUGGAAUAAAUUCUCUAAUUUGGCAUUAAAAUUAGAAUGAUCUUAUCAAAGGGAACAUGUAUACUAAGUUUCAAGUUGAUUGGACUUCUACUUUAUCAAAAACUACCUUGACCAAAAACUUUAACCUGAAAUUUGCACUAUCAUUUUCUAUGUUCAGUGAACCGUAAAAUUGGGGUCAAAACUCUAAUUUGGCAUUUAAAUUAGAAAGAUCAUAUCAUAGGGCACAUGUAUACUAAGUUUCAAGUUGAUUGGACUUCAACUUCAUCAAAAACUACCUUGACCAAAAACUUUAACCUGAAGCCAAAAACUUUAACCUGAAAUUUGCACUAUCAUUUUCUAUCAGUGAACCGUAAAAUUGGGGUAAAUCUCUAAUUGGCAUUAAAAUUAGAAAGAUCAUAUCAUAGGGAACAUGUGUACCAAGUUUGAAGUCGAUUGGACUUCAACUUCAUCAAAAACUACCUCGACCAAAAACUUUAACCUGAAGCGGGACAGACGGACGAACGGACGAACGAACGGACGAACGGACGCACAGACCAGAAAACAUAAUGCCCCUCUACUAUCGUAGGUGGGGCAUAAAAA
rnacentral:lncRNA from 1 species